rnacentral:rRNA from 1 species
UACGUAGGGUGCAAGCGUUGUCCGGAAUUAUUGGGCGUAAAGAGCUCGUAGGCGGUCUGUUGCGUCGGCUGUGAAAACCCGGGGCUCAACCCCGGGCCUGCAGCCGAUACGGGCAGACUAGAGGUAGGUAGGGGAGAAUGGAAUUCCUGGUGUAGCGGUGAAAUGCGCAGAUAUCAGGAGGAACACCGGUGGCGAAGGCGGUUCUCUGGGCCUUACCUGACACUGAGGAGCGAAAGCGUGGGGAGCGAACAGG